UCCGCACAGGGGCCCCGGCCACCGGCCAGCUUGACGCUCCGGGAUCUCGUGACCAGGUUCUCCAGGAGCCCCGGGCCUCUGGGCAGCUUCGCGUUCCGGGAUCUCGUGACCAGGUUCUCCAGGAGCCCCAGGCCUCUGGGCAGCUUCGCGCUCCGGGAUCUCGUGACCCGAUUCUCCAGGAGCCCCGGGCUCUGGGCAGCUUCGCUCUCCGGGAUCUCGUGACCCGAUUCUCCAGGAGCCCCGGGCCUCUGGGCAGCUUGGCGCUCUGGGCUCCCCGGGACACGGACUCUGCGUCCGAGAUCUCCCCGGGCGAGCGGGCUCCUCGCGAACCGGACUCCGGGCGCUUCCGGCCGGCCACUGCCCUUCAUUUACGCUGCUUGGACCGCGAGUACUAGACUCGACAACGCCCACUGGAACCUCCGCAGACUUCAUUCACCCUUUUGUACUUCGUCCCGAACGGUUAUUUUGUAUUGUGUUGUCAAAUGUUUUUGAAAUACAUGCCAUGCCUUUUCUAAA